AGACAUAUAUUACCAGAAAUUAAUUCUGACACCGAAGAAGACUCAUCGGAUGAUUCCGAUUAUGAGCCUUAGUUUUAAUUUAGAGGACGAAAUCCAUUAAUUUGUAUAACUAAAGACCUUUUCCUUUAUAGUUUACACAUGUUGAAUUCAUAUUUCAGUUAUUUUAUAUGAAUUUUGGUGAUACAUGAUGAACAGGAAGUUAGUAUGGUUUACUAAUAUCGUCUGUUUUUUUAAUGUAUUUUUUCCUUUAGCCGACGAAAUACACUAUAAUUCGUCGGCUAAGAUGGUUUUGCCGACGAAUAACCUAAUAUUUCGUCGGCUAUAGUUAUUUUUAAUUUUUUAAUUACAUGCUAUAGCCGACGAAUACGUUAGGGUAUUCGUCGGCUAAACCCUAAAAUUUUUCUAUUACCUACUAUAGCCCUAUAUUCGAUGGUUAUUUUGCGUAAAAUUUUUAUACGACUUGUUGCGUGUCAUCGGUUUAAAACUAUUUUCUAGUUGGAGGUCCGGCCAAAAUACGUAAUUUAGACCGUCGAACGACCUUUCCGUGCUUUUAGGGGUUUGGUACUUACGAGAUUGACCGUCCGGAUCGAGCCCUUAUUCUUUUCGGUAUCAAGUUGAAUUUUUUCCCUAUACAUGUAUUUUAUCAUGAUGGUCAGAUCUGACGGUCGGAUGACUGUUUCUCUAAGUUUGAUCAUCACAAUCACAAUAGGCAUACUAAUGUUGUAUAACUUGUUUACCUAGUGUUAUGUAAAUGUUCCGUU
rnacentral:lncRNA from 1 species